CAGGUGUCAGCCUUGGGCUGGAGUUUCAGCUGGCUUCUUUUCACCAAAAACCUGCUUUAGCCUAACCCACCACGAAAGCCUGGCUUUGUUUGAUUGGAGCUGAGCCGGGUCUGAUAGGCCCUCCUUGUUCUGCCAGCGGCCAGAGAGGCUUAUCACACAUCAGAUUGUGUUUCCUUUGAGGUAACCUCAAACCAAAGCUCGCUGUUCCCCGAAGAACAAAGAGAGAGUGAGAACGUUGUGCGGGUGCUUGGGAGCGCUCAGAUGGUCACAAGUCAGGAGGCCUGCUUGGAUUUUGCUGACUUUGCACCAGAAGGGUCUCACCAUGACCGGCAUUGAGGGUGGCGAGUGGCUUUGCCAAGUCAAAGGACUUUGAAGAAGUCACAUAGACCCCGUGGGCUGAUGGAGACUUAGAGACCUCUAGAGCGCAGUCAAGGAAAGUUUCUAUUCCAUAAAAACGUCUUAAGAAUCAUCAAAGGUAACCCUCAGAGAGUAAGGUAGAAGCUGCCAGGCCUCUGAGAGGCUAGGCGCAGAACCGAAACUGCUUCAACUCUGCCACGUUGUAUUGAUCAAAGGAAGUCACAAGACGAGUCCAGAUUCAAGGCAAGGAGAAAUGGAUUCUACCUCUUGACGAGG
rnacentral:lncRNA from 1 species